GACGAACGCUGGCGGCGUGCUUAAUACAUGCAAGUCGAACGAAAAGGCCCUGCUCUUGCGGGGUGCACGAUUGGGGAAGGGGGGAGUAACACAUGAGUAACCUGCACCUGACUUUGGGGUAAAAUCAGGGGAAUGCGGCUCAUACACGAUAGGAUCUCCUGCUGCACGGGGGGGGAUGGUAAGUUUCGGCGGUUGGGGCUGGAAUCGCGGCUUAUGCGCUGGUUUGUGGGGUAGGGGCGGACAAAGGCUAUGACGGGUAGCCGGCCUGAGAGGGUGGCCGGCCACAUUGGGACUGAGGUACGGCCCAGACUCCUACGGGCGGCAGCAGUGGGGAGUAUUGCACAGUGAGCGGAAGUCUGAUGCAGCAACGCCGCGUGCGGAAUGACGGCCUUCGGGUUGUAAACCGCUUUCGCCUGUGACGAAGCGUGAGUGACGGUAAUGGGUAAAGAAGCACCGGCUAACUACGU
rnacentral:rRNA from 1 species